rnacentral:rRNA from 1 species
CUCGGUGAAAUUAUAGUACCUGUGAAGAUGCAGGUUACCCGCGACAGGACGGAAAGACCCCGUGGAGCUUUACUGUAGCCUGAUAUUGAAUUUUGGUACAGUUUGUACAGGAUAGGCGGGAGCCAUUGAAACCGGAGCGCUAGCUUCGGUGGAGGCGCUGGUGGGAUACCGCCCUGACUGUAUUGAAAUUCUAACCUACGGGUCUUAUCGACCCGGGAGACAGUGUCAGGUGGGCAGUUUGACUGGGGCGGUCGCCUCCUAAAGUGUAACGGAGGCGCCCAAAGGUUCCCUCAGAAUGGUUGGAAAUCAUUCGUAGAGUGCAAAGGCAUAAGGGAGCUUGACUGCGAGACCUACAAGUCGAGCAGGGACGAAAGUCGGGCUUAGUGAUCCGGUGGUUCCGCAUGGAAGGGCCAUCGCUCAACGGAUAAAAGCUACCCCGGGGAUAACAGGCUUAUCUCCCCCAAGAGUCCACAUCGACGGGGAGGUUUGGCACCUCGAUGUCGGCUCAUCGCAUCCUGGGGCUGUAGUCGGUCCCAAGGGUUGGGCUGUUCGCCCAUUAAAGCGGUACGCGAGCUGGGUUCAGAACGUCGUGAGACAGUUCGGUCCCUAUCCGUCGUGGGCGUAGGAAAUUUGAGAGGAGCUGUCCUUAGUACGAGAGGACCGGGAUGGACGCACCGCUGGUGUACCAGUUGUUCUGCCAAGGGCAUAGCUGGGUAGCUAUGUGCGGAAGGGAUAAGUGCUGAAAGCAUCUAAGCAUGAAGCCCCCCUCAAGAUGAGAUUUCCCAUAGCGUAAGCUAGUAAGAUCCCUGAAAGAUGAUCAGGUUGAUAGGUUCGAGGUGGAAGC